rnacentral:misc_RNA from 1 species
GGUGAAUAUAAUAUAAUACAUUGAGACGGUGAAAUUCAGCGUCCUAUUUCCAAAAGUUUGAGAUUUUGCUGGUGUGCCACUUAUGGCCACUAAAAUAUCCCUGUCCUUUUGUUAGGCAUCGAUUCUAGAUUUUGCCUAAUUGGGUUUUCUUCUCAGUUUCUUUUCUUUUCCUUAUAAUCAAUUUGCACACGCUCUACAUUUUAUUAUGAUUUAUUCUUGUGCAUUGAUUCUAUCAUGCUUUGGUGCUUUGAUUUUCCAUAUAAUCAAGAACUUUAAUUUUUC